UGCCCGCCCGGCUCCGCCCGCCACAGCCGCCUCGCCUCCCCUCGCCUCCCCUCCCGCCCUGGUGCCGCCGAGCCGAGGCGUCGGGCGGGCAGCGGGCGGGCGGCCGCGCCAUGAGCGCCGAGUGCAGCAGUUACCUCAACGCCGACAAGGUGCUGGUGAGCGGGUUCAGCUGCCCGCGGGCGGGCGGCGACGCCCGCGCCGUGUUCUGCUGCGGCUUCCAGGACGUCAAGUACUGCUGCGAUGAUCCCCACAGCUUCUUCCCCUACGAGCACAGCUACAUGUGGUGGCUCAGUGUUGGAGCACUCGUGGGCCUGUCAAUAGCAGCAGUGGUCCUCUUUGCUUUUAUCAUCACUGUGUGUGUUCUCUGCUAUUUGUUUAUCAGCACCAAGCCACGCAGCAAACUGGAUACUGGUCUGAGCUUACAGACCGCAGUGACCAUCAUGGGAAGCAUAGUAGCAGAAAAUAAGGAUUGAAAACAGAAGGAGGAAAGUGGGAAGGGAAUGAAAGAACAAAUAUCAGACAGUGAGGCCAGAGGGAGUUCAGUAUGUUAAAGACAGAGGCACUGAAUGGAUUCUAUCAACGUUAUGAAGAGAUACGGAGCUGCAUCCUCCACAAAGGCCCCACCAAAACAAGCUGUUGGCAGAGCCAAGUGACUUCAAGAGAUUUCCUAAGCCACAAGGAUAGACUGUGACUGUAAGCCACGAGAACCCAAUUCACUCUUCCAGAGGUGUUUCCUGGCUCUUACAACCACUAUCGAUAAUCAGAGGCCAAUCUGAAGCUGUGCCAGGAUGUUUGUGUAUGGUUGCUGUACUGAGAAGUUGUGUGUUUUGAUUUGCAUAUCAGCUACUGCUGUCAGUCAUUUUCAUGCAAGUUGUUGUCUCUAUCCUGUGCAAAUCCAGUGAGAUAACACAGUUGUCAAGCAGAGCAGAAUUGGGCACACCAUGUUGACCCAGCUUUAUUUUAAGCUUUCCCCGUGUGCCAUCUCAGUGUGGUGUCUUCAUGUCUUGAACAUGGUUGUCUUUUGCCAAAUGUGACUGCUCAAUGCACAAACGAAUGUGAAUGCAGUACCUCAAUAAAAUCUGGCAUUU